rnacentral:misc_RNA from 1 species
AAGUCGUAACAAGGUCUCCGUUGGUGAACCAGCGGAGGGAUCAUUAACACGUGUUCCACGUAACACCCAAUACUAUGUGCAUCAUUGCAUUUUCUCCCUAUUGUCUUGUACAAUAGGCACUAUAUUGUGUAACAUUGUAUGGCGCUACAUAUUCGUAUGUACGUUGUACAAUGCUACAUAGUAUUCUAUACUAUUCACACCUUUCACCAAUUUAUUAAUCUUGCUAGUUGCUUUCAUUGUAUCUUGCACUGUUUAUCAGUGUGGCUACAAUUGUUUCUAUUAUUGAAACUAAGCAUACAACUCUUAGCAAUGGAUAUCUUGGUUCUC